UACGUAGGCAGCAAGCGUUGCUCGGAAUCACUGGGCGUAAAGGGUGCGUAGGCGGGUCUUUAAGUCAGGGGUGAAAUCCUGGAGCUCAACUCCAGAACUGCCUUUGAUACUGGCGAUCUUGAGUCCGGGAGAGGUGAGUGGAACUGCGAGUGUAGAGGUGAAAUUCGUAGAUAUUCGCAAGAACACCAGUGGCGAAGGCGGCUCACUGGCCCGGUACUGACGCUGAGGCACGAAAGCGUGGGGAGCAAACAGG
rnacentral:rRNA from 1 species